rnacentral:rRNA from 1 species
AACGAACGCUGGCGGCAGGCUUAACACAUGCAAGUCGAACGCCCCGCAAGGGGAGUGGCAGACGGGUGAGUAACGCGUGGGAAUCUACCCAUCCCUACGGAACAACUCCGGGAAACUGGAGCUAAUACCGUAUACGCCCUACGGGGGAAAGAUUUAUCGGGGAUGGAUGAGCCCGCGUUGGAUUAGCUAGUUGGUGGGAUAAAGGCCUACCAAGGCGACGAUCCAUAGCUGGUCUGAGAGGAUGAUCAGCCACAUUGGGACUGAGACACGGCCCAAACUCCUACGGGAGGCAGCAGUGGGGAAUAUUGGACAAUGGGCGCAAGCCUGAUCCAGCCAUGCCGCGUGAGUGAUGAAGGUCUUAGGAUUGUAAAGCUCUUUCGCCGAUGAAGAUAAUGACGGUAGUCGGAGAAGAAGCCCCGGCUAACUUCGUGCCAGCCGCCGCAGUAAGAC